GUGUAUAUGCGGUCACAUAGAAGCAUCACAAGUCUUUGAAGUGAAACACACACUGACAUGUCUAUGGCAAUCUGCCCUUCCUUAAUAUAUUCUUCUAAUUGAGCUUCACUGAUUGAGUUACAAUGGAACAAGUCCAAAAUGCAAGCAACUGGAAGCACUCCGCAGAAUGUAAAUAAGGUGCUGCAGAAUAAGAACAUGUGAAUUUUUGUUUUGACAACCGUAUGGCAUCUUGUCCUCUAGGAAUUAUAUCUCUGUCUUAAGCUACACCUCUACUAAGUGUAUAUACAUGGCAGACAUUUGACACCUCAUCAGUUGGAGGUGUUUUAUAUGAAAGUGAUGGUUUCCAUCAAGGCUUCUAUGGGUCCGUGUGUCUUCAUCCAGGAUUAUAAUCACUGAGAAUGUAUGAGCUCUUAACCCAGUUCACCAUGGCCAAUGCAUCUGGAUGCUAACGAAAAUCUUGGCACACCAUGACCUGAUUGGAGAAUCGCCCUUUUUCCUGAAAAAUCGUCUCAAAGCCUUGAUGCUAUCAGAGUGUGUCAAAGCUAAUAAGUGUGUGUGUGUGUGUGUGUGUUAGCUGAUGUAAUACGAGCAGUUAUAAUCUGGAUGUGUCUCUGGUUACUGAGAGACCCAUUGCGAGAGCUGCUGUUGCUCUCCUUGAUCCUGGAGCCACGCUUCACGCAUCAGUAAUCCUAGGCCCAUCUCAGGGAUUUGUCUGCCAUUAAGUGAUGGCUUUUUGAUUGUGUGUGUGUGUGUGUGUAUGUGUAGUUGAGGGUGGGGGGUAAUGUUAGCUGGUACUGUUCGUAGAAGAACACACCGCACACAUCUCUGAUCACACUCACACAGCCCUUUUUAGAGGGGCAGGGACCUCUAAAUCCGCCCAGUCAUGCAGUGGUAAGCGUGCGGAGAGGAGCUGUCUGCCCAUGGAUGAGCUCAAGGGAACGUCCUCACCAGCGGCCGUUUCCAGGUGGAGGAGCUGGACCUGAGCAACAGGUGAGAGUGCCUUUACUGAAGCAGCCAGCAGUUGUUCUUUGGUCCUACUGAGAAUUUGGAAUGAAGAAUUUUUUUGUUCAAGUGUCUAUCAUUAUGAAGACCAACUCGCAUGGUAUGUUGUGUCGCACAGGCAAUGGAAAGUCAUAAGGCAAAUCAUUUCUUACCCGUAACAGUUUAAGGAUCUCCGUAUUAGAAAGGAUUUUUUUGCCUGAUCCAUUUGCUUGGAGUUACUUAUUCUGUAUUUCACACAGUCAUUUACUACGUUUUUGUGCUCUGAUAGUUGAUCAUGUCUAUUUAGAAUAGUACUUUGUAACCUUUAUGCAAUUUUUACCCUGAUCAUUUAUAACAAUUUCAGAUCUCUCCUUGACACUUGACAUGCAACAGGUGCCCCAGACCAGUGAUGAUUCUAAUAGUGAUAGGCGUGUCCUCCCUCCUCCUGCCCCACGCGCUGGCCCUGUGGGCGUGCACACGUUCCUGCCCGCCCCGCUGCACGUGCACGGAGGAGAAGAACUGCAGCGUGCUGUGUGACCGCUCGGCCUUGGGCGACCUGCCCAAGGAGUUCCCCUGCGAGGCGUCUGCCAUCAACCUGGACAAGAACAGCCUCAAGUUCCUGGCGGAGCGCGCGUUCGGGACGCUGCCCUCACUGCGCUUGCUCUCGCUGGACCACAACAACAUCUCUUUCAUCACGCCAGGGGCUUUCAAAGGGCUGCCCAACCUGGUGGAUCUCCGCAUGGCCAAUAACGAGUACAUCAGCUACCUGCACACGCGCACCUUCACCUCCCUCAGGCGCCUGGUGCGGCUAGACAUAUCCAACUGCAACCUCUUCAGCAUGCCCGACCGCAUCUUCAUUGAGCAGGUGGACCUUCGCGAGCUGUUCUGCUUCCAGAACAUGUUCCGGCGUGUUCCGAGCGCCCUUCGGGACAUGGAGAACCUGACACACGUGUACCUGGAGCGGAACAAGAUCGAAGCGGUGGCCUACAACUCCCUGCUGGGCCUCCUCAACCUGAAGUACCUGAACUUGCAGGAGAACCGCAUCACGACAAUCCACGACAACUCCUUCCAGGACCUGCGCAAGCUCGAGAACUUCUACCUGAACGACAACCUGCUCUCCGAACUGCCCCAGUACACCUUCAGAGGCCUCGUCUCCCUCAAGAUGCUCAACCUCGGAGGGAACUUCCUCUCCAACGUAUCCCGGACCUGGUUCGGCGAUCUGGUGGAGCUAGAGGUGCUCUACCUGGACCGCAACCGCCUGCUGUUCAUCGAGGAGGGCGCGUUUGAGAACCUCACCAGCCUCAUCACGCUGCACCUCAACAGCAACAACCUCACCAUCCUGCCCCUCCCCACCUUCCAGCCCAUCUACUUCGUCGGGCACCUGUACCUCUUCCGCAACCCCUGGGAAUGUGACUGCAGUCUUGAGUGGCUUAAGGAGUGGAAAGAAAACUACAAGCUGGUGCGGGACAUCCCCUGUGCCAGCCCAUCGUCCGUGGCCGGCCUUGACCUCAGCGAGGUGGUGUACACCCGCCUCAAUGGCACCUGCAUAGACCCAGGAGAACGGAACCUGACCACGGCCGCUCCCGAGACCCCCACCACAGAGAGCAAGCUCAACAGUCUCAUCUCCAAGCUGCUCCAGCAGGAGCUCAAGGAGGAGGCCACAAACUCCUCGGAGAGCUUCCGCAACGGAACCGUGGCCGAGAGCCAGGUGUCGGCCGGAAUACGCCUUAUUGGGUCUGGCCAAUGGCUGCUGCUGUUAUUGUUUGCUUGUCUGCACAUUGGCCAGUCAGGCACCUUGAUGGUGUUCUAUCAGCUUUGUGACAGGCCAUGAAAAGUUUGGCAAAGUUGUGGAGAAAGAGUUCAGCAUAGUGGGGGAAGAAUCCAGUUUUCCAUGGCCCGUGGAAGAAAGGGUUCAGAGUCCGGGCUGUCAAGUGGAAUCCUGCUUUCCUGGAAAGGCUGAUCCUGAUAGCUAAAUAGGGGAAAGGAAGAAUACUUUCAUAUACCAUAGUUCUGGACCACUGCUUUCAUUCCUUCUUUCUUUUUGAGAAAUGGAAAACGGGAAGUGUGGAGUCUUGGCUUCAGGUAUAAUAAGAAGAAUCAGUUGUCUGACAUCUGUGAAUAAGACUGAGAGAAUAAGAGCACUCGUUUUAUUUUGGUCCAAAACCGUCGGACACCGAAAUGAUGGGAUUUGCAGAGCAUUAAAUUAAUGUUGAGCCCACGCGCGCGCACACACACACACACACAAAACGCUUUCACUUGCUUAAUGUUCCAUCGUCUACACUAAGGUGAAGAUUUAUGUAUGGAAGAUAGCACUAGCUGCGGCGCAUCAUCACUUUAACAGAUGGUGCUGUAUCGUGUGGCAUGGUCUGGUUCUCCCGGCCACGUAGAGAUGCAUAUUUUUCCAAGUGCUAUCCAGACACAUGGACAUAACAUGGACUAACUACACCCAAGUAGUGUUGUGUUUGUGCACAUUAGCUAUAUUAUGGUGUUAUUUUAUUGUGUUUUCAAGUCAACAGAUUCCAUUAACCAGCUUUGCUCGUGGUUAUGAGAAAAAUGCGGUUUCAUUUUUUAAAAUUUUAAGUUUGCAUUUUCCAUUCCAUCAUACAUCUGCUUGAUUAUUUCAUUAAUUGAGAAUAAUAACAAUGUAUGAAAAAUUAUUCCUGGAUGCUAUAAGAAAUACAUGCUGCUAAAUAAGAUGAAAGGGAUGAACAGAAGCCUUGUUUGUUUGUAAACACUUAUUUGCAAGGGAUUUGAUCCAGCAUGUGACAUGUUCUUCCACGUAAUCUAACGUAUACACAGACAUUUAUGUUCUCUUAAAACAUUUCUGAGUCUUGGCAACAUUGCAAUAUAAUUGUAUUUGUUUACAGUUAAGAUCAAGAAUAUUCUUAGUUUAUAUGCGGUGCAAAGGCUGAACACCCAUGUGUGGAAGUUCGUGGCGAUUGAGGUGCUGAAAUGUAAACUCUGAAAGUUGUACAGUGAUUGAAUUUGUAUGCCAUCAAUCUGAAUAAAAUGGUCUGUCUGAGUACACUUUGACUCA